rnacentral:rRNA from 1 species
GUGGGGAAUAUUGGACAAUGGGCGAAAGCCUGAUCCAGCCAUGCCGCGUGUGUGAAGAAGGUCUUCGGAUUGUAAAGCACUUUAAGUUGGGAGGAAGGGCAGUAAGUUAAUACCUUGCUGUUUUGACGUUACCAACAGAAUAAGCACCGGCUAACUUCGUGCCAGCAGCCGCGGUAAUACGAAGGGUGCAAGCGUUAAUCGGAAUUACUGGGCGUAAAGCGCGCGUAGGUGGUUCAGCAAGUUGGAGGUGAAAUCCCCGGGCUCAACCUGGGAACUGCCGCCAAAACUACUGAGCUAGAGUACGGUAGAGGGUAGUGGAAUUUCCUGUGUAGCGGUGAAAUGCGUAGAUAUAGGAAGGAACACCAGUGGCGAAGGCGACUACCUGGACUGAUACUGACACUGAGGUGCGAAAGCGUGGGGAGCAAACAGGAUUAGAAACCCCGGUAGUCC